CCCACUUCUCAAAACGUAGAUAGAUACAAAUUUCAGGGUUCGCUCUUAAAAAAGAUCUAACCCUAAGCCUAGGUUGUUGCUCCUGUUGACUGCGGAUGGCGAGCGACAACGAUAACUCCCGGCGUAAGCACCGACGGUCUGCCUCCGGUGUGGAGGAAGUUGAAGAAUCAUCAAAACGACACAAGCAUCGCCACAGCCGUCACCGUCAUCGCCACAGCAGCAAGAAGCACAAAGAGGAAAGAAAAGACGACACGAACGAUAUAUCCCCUCCUCCAACUGUGGUUCCUCUUGCUAUUGGUUCUCGUGCGGAUGACGAUGUUGAGGAAGGCGAGAUUCUUGAGGACGAGGCUCUCAAUGAGAACAAGGAUGUUCAGACCGAUUUUCUGAAUCCGAGUAAUAGCAUGGAGGAUGAUUCUUCUCAUACAAAAGCAAUAGAUUCUGGAAUUUUGAGGAAUUUGGGUGAGGCAAAGAGUGAUUGUGGUGAGGAGAAGAUGUGUCACAUUGUUGAUAAAAUUCAUGUUGAGGUUGAUUUGCUAGGAAUAUCUGGUGCUCAGCAUCCAGAAGAUUUUAUUUAUAGAUCUGGUGCUGGUGAUUAUGUGAAUGGGGACUUGAAUUGUGAGUACAGUAGGAUGGAUAGGCGACAAAUUGGCAAGCAGAAGAAUUAUUGUGAUGAUGAAACAGUAGAGGACGAUGUGAGGACAUCAAGAGAUCAAGGGUCCUCUGAAGGUGCUGGCGACAGGUACAGAAUGUCGACAGUCUCAUCGUCUGAUGACCAGGACCAUUAUAAGGUUGAUGUGAAGCCUAGAUCACAGGAUUUUCCUGCGGUGAGAUCUCAUUCUUGUAGCAUAACUGGAGAUGAUUUUCUUUCGAAGAAAAGACAUUGUCAUGGUGAGGAUGUAAAAUUUUAUGAUGAAAGGAUGAUAACGAAUGACUCUAGCGAUGAUAGAAUGAAUUGUCACACUAGGGAGAGUAAUACUGGAAGAAAGGAUAGGUGUCAAACCCAUGAGGCGGAGGACAUGGAGGUGAGACUUGAGAAUCAUAUGGAUAGAAAUCCAAGAAGGGACAAUGGACGAGAGAGAAGCAGGGAUGGGGAGGUUGACCGGUAUAUACGAGAGAAGAGCAGGGACGGGGAAACAUACAGUUAUAAGAGAGAGGAGGGGGAAAGGGGGGACAAUGAUGUUGGCAGGGAACGGAGAAGGGAGAAAGAAGUUGAGAGAAGCAUGAAUAGGGAGAUUGACAAGGACCGAAGAAGAAGUGAGUGGGACAAGAGCAGGGAUAGGGAGAUCAACAGGGAUUGGAGAAGGGAUGAGCGUGAGAGGAGUCGGGAUAGGGAUACUGAUAGAGAUUGGAGAUGGGAGGAGCGAGGGAGGAGUCGGAAUAGGGAUACUGAUAGAGAUUGGAGAUGGGAGGAGCGAGGGAGGAGUCGGAAUAGGGAUACUUUCAGGGAUUGGAGAAGAGAAGAGCGAGAGAGGAGCCGAGAAAGGGGGCUGGAGAAGGAUAGGAAAAGAGAGGUGGAAAGAGAUAUUAGAGAUGGAACCAGGGCUAGUGAGCGAGAUAGAGAUAGGGACAGGUUUAGAGAUCGGAGUUGGGAGAAUGAAAGGGGGAGUGAAAGGCGAGGUGGAAGAAAUAGGGAUAAAGGCAGGGACGAUGAGAUUGAUAGAAAUACUAAUGUUUCUAAUAGUGAUUCUACUGGUGUUGGCGGCAAGCUUAACAGAGAUGAAGAUGAACAAGAUGAUUUUGAAGGGAGGGUUUCUUUCAAACUAGCUGAACAGGAGGAGGAAGAUCUCAACAGAAUCAAGGAGGAAAGCAGGAAGCGAAGGCAAGCCAUCUUGGAGAAGUUUAAGCAUCAGCAGUCACAGCUGCAAAUUGAGUCAUGUUCGGAGGACAUGCAAAAAGCUAAGGAGACUGCUGCAGAGCUUCCUGGUCGAUUGUUAGGUGCUUCUGAUGUUGCUGCAGAAGUUCUUGAUGGUAGGACCGAUGGAUCAGAUGCUAAGGUGGCUGACCAACUAUUUGUUGUUGGGAAGUCUCCUCAAGUUAAUGAAAUUAAUGUUUCUGAGAAGACAUCUGGUGAUGGGGGUCUUGGCAAGGGUACGCCGAAGAGUGAGAGGUUGGAUGACAUAUUUUGUGACGAUAUAUUUGGAGAUUCACCUGCUGGAGUUCGUAAACCGGGCAAAGGAGACAGUCUGCCAAUUGUAAGGAGUGGUCUACAUGACAACUGGGAUGAUGCAGAGGGGUACUAUGGGCAUCGAUUUGGUGAAAUACUUGAUGGUCGAUAUGAAGUCACUGCUGCCCAUGGAAAAGGUGUAUUUUCGACCGUUGUUCGUGCUAAGGAUGUUAAGACUGAUAAUGGUGAUCCUGGGGAGGUCGCCGUUAAAAUUAUACGCAAUAAUGAAACUAUGCACAAGGCAGGUCAACUAGAAGUUCAGAUACUAAAGAAAUUAGUGGGAGCGGAUCCAGAAAAUAAGCGGCACUGUGUUCGUUUCUUCUCAAGUUUCAAGUACAGGAAUCAUCUUUGUUUAGUUUUUGAAUCUUUAAAUAUGAACUUGCGUGAGGUUUUGAAGAAGUUUGGUCGCAACAUUGGCCUUAAACUGACUGCUGUGAAAACCUAUGCAAAGCAGCUUUUCAUUGCGCUGAAACAUCUAAAAAAUUGUGGUGUUCUUCAUUGUGACAUAAAGCCGGAUAACAUGCUGGUGAAUGAGGCAAAAAAUGUGCUGAAGCUUUGUGAUUUUGGUAAUGCCAUGUUUGCUGGUAAAAAUGAAAUUACGCCAUAUCUAGUGAGCCGUUUCUAUCGUGCUCCUGAAAUUAUUCUUGGCUUGCCGUAUGAUCAUCCAAUGGAUAUCUGGUCUGUUGGUUGCUGUUUGUUUGAGCUGUAUAAAGGAAAAGUUCUUUUUCCGGGUCCAUCAAACAAUGACAUGCUACGACUUCACAUGGAACUGAAAGGCCCUUUUCCGAAAAAGAUGCUUCGCAGGGGAGCAUUUACGGAUCAGCAUUUUGAUCAAGAUUUAAAUUUUCAUGCUACUGAAGAGGAUCCCGUUACUAAGAAGGCAAUCAAGAGGAUGAUUGUCAACAUAAAGCCAAAAGAUAUUGGAUCAAUCAUUACCGGCUCUCCCGGUGAGGAUCCAAAAAUGUUGGCAAAUUUUAAGGAUCUUCUAGAUAAAAUUUUUGUCUUGGAUCCAGAAAAGAGGAUAACGGUUUCUCAAGCAUUGAAUCAUCCAUUCAUCACGGGCAAGUGAAUUGUGUUGCUGUUUUCUGAUCCAGAAAUGCUGUUGUAGUAGAUUAUUGUACAUUAUGUCAUAAUUCAUAUCCAGAUAUCUAACGAUGGGGUGUCAUCUGUCUUUUAUCUUAUCUGUGCUGGCUUGAGGGCUUUGGACAUGGUGUUUGGCAUGGUUGAAGUCAAAGGGGGUAAUUUUUGGUCGUGGAGUACUCUUUACUGGCGGUUCUUUCAGUCGAGUGAUAUCUGCCCUGCAUUGAGGCAACCCUUCAGUGCUUAGAUGCUUAGAAGGCACCCAGGAGAAGGUACCAUGGUUUGUUUAUUGGGAGCGUAUUGUACCACCCUGAUAACAAAAUAUUAUUUUUUUUAUGCGUUUAUGUUUCUUUUUAAAAUUGUUAGGCUUCCAUGGGAUCUCACCCAGUUUAAAUUGUAGAAUUAAAUGCUUUUCCACCAUGAUCGUGAAACUAGAAAAGUAGGCAUAUUUCUGCAUAUGCUUCCUUAGCAUCUGUACUUUUGAAUGUGAAUACUUUGGGUUCUCCCUUCAGCUUAUAUGUGGCACUUACAUUUA